GUGGGGAAUCUUGCGCAAUGGGCGAAAGCCUGACGCAGCCAUGCCGCGUGAAUGAUGAAGGUCUUAGGAUUGUAAAAUUCUUUCACCGGGGACGAUAAUGACGGUACCCGGAGAAGAAGCCCCGGCUAACUUCGUGCCAGCAGCCGCGGUAAUACGAAGGGGGCUAGCGUUGCUCGGAAUUACUGGGCGUAAAGGGCGCGUAGGCGGACAGUUUAGUCAGAGGUGAAAGCCCAGGGCUCAACCUUGGAAUUGCCUUUGAUACUGGCUGUCUUGAGUACGGGAGAGGUGAGUGGAACUCCGAGUGUAGAGGUGAAAUUCGUAGAUAUUCGGAAGAACACCAGUGGCGAAGGCGACUCACUGGCCCGUUACUGACGCUGAGGCGCGAAAGCGUGGGGAUCGAACAGGAUUAGAUACCCCAGUAGUCC
rnacentral:rRNA from 1 species